rnacentral:rRNA from 1 species
UGGGGAAUAUUGGACAAUGGGGGAAACCCUGAUCCAGCGAUGCCGCGUGAGUGAAGAAGGCCUUCGGGUUGUAAAACUCUUUCACCUGUGACGAUGAUGACGGUAGCAGGAGAAGAAGCACCGGCUAACUCCGUGCCAGCAGCCGCGGUAAGACGGAGGGUGCUAGCGUUGUUCGGAAUGACUGGGCGUAAAGGGCGCGUAGGCGGCUAUAUAAGUUGGGCGUGAAAGCCCCGGGCUUAACCUGGGAACUGCGUUCGAUACUGUAUGGCUUGAGGACAGAAGAGGAAAGUGGAAUUCCUAGUGUAGAGGUGAAAUUCGUAGAUAUUAGGAGGAACACCAGAGGCGAAGGCGGCUUUCUGGUCUGUCACUGACGCUGAGGCGCGAAAGCGUGGGGAGCAAA